ensembl:lncRNA
AUACCAACAGCAAGAGAAAUUAUUUAAGAAUGUUUCUUUUCCUUCGGAACACGGCUGAUAAUUUAUUUUUCCGUCAGAAGAUUACUUUUCUCUUUACGACAUUUCCUGCCCCGGUGAUUUGCGUUAGCGUUCAAUAAAAUGGUCUGUGCCGAACGUCGGGAGUGAGUCCACGCCAACCGUUCCUUGAAUGAAGGGAGGGUGUCGACUGUGGUCAACGGUGGCUCAGACCCACUGCCGGUCCAGGAGCAGUGUGACUGAGGAGCUCCGAAAUGCCCUUGAGGAGCAGAUGACAUUCAAAGCUGUAUUUUAGACAAGCGUUCGGACCAAGAUGAACUGGGGAAAAUCAGUCUGAGUACCAAAGGGGAUCUGCCUGGUGCUCAACUGGAAAACUACAGUGUGGAGUCCUCUUGAAAGGAAAAGGAAAGGAAGAAAAGCAAUGUUUAUUGACUGUCAGCAGCCCUAUGGGUUAAGGAUAUAACCCCAACAAGUCACGGGAAAAUGAAGCUCAGGAAAGAGAUCCGUCCAAGGUUACUUGUCUGCAGAGAGUCAAGAGUCGGCCCCAUCUGCCUGUCUCUACAGUUUAUGCUUCAUGCACAUCUGACUGGUGGGAUGGCCUGACACUGAGCCUCCUCAGCCCUCUUGCCCAAGGACCCCAGCCUUUGUGAGCACUCACUCACAUCUGGUUUCAGUUGCCAAGUGUUGGCCACACUAGCUCUGUAGGGCCUCCAUCUGUAUCUCCUCCCUGUCAGCUGCCCACUUUUUCCAGAAGAACCUGGAACAGAUUCAGAGAUCUGGAUUGGUUGUGGCUCUGACCUCUCUCCUACCCUCUUCCACCACCCCUGCUGCACACAGCUGACCUCUGCACAUGCUCUUCCUUCUGCAUGACUUCCAUCCUUUCUCUGACUAGCUAAGGCCGUCUUGUCCUUGAAGGCCAGUUUUGGUGUCCUCUCUUCCAGGAAGCCUUCUCUGAAUCCCAUGGCUCGGGACUCAGAAGGCCUCCUCUGUGCUUCUACAGCUCCUAAGUGUUCUCAAGAUGGCACUCAGAUGUUUAUUGCUUUAUGGUCUAUUUGCAUCAUCUCUGUCUAUCCUCUUGUGGGCUGUGGGGAGAGCAGGGAAUAUACCUGAUUCAUCCCUAGAUCCUUAGCUAUCAGCACAGGACCUGGUCCAGAGUAGAAUCAGAGCAUUCUGGAAAGAUAGAUAAGUGGUUGGAUGGAUGGAUAGAUGGUAAGUAGUUCCAUGGAUGGAUGGAUGGAUGAAUGAAUGGAC